AAGCUUGCUUGUUGGGGUUGUAGGACACUCUAUACGGAGUUACAAAGGACGACAUUAGACGAAUCAUCUGGAAAGAUGAAUCAAAGAAGGUAAUAAUCCUGUAGUCGAAAAUGUUGUCUCUCUUGAGUGGAUCCUGAGUACGACGGAGCACGUGAAAUUCCGUCGGAAUCUGGGAGGACCAUCUCCUAAGGCUAAAUACUCUCUAGUGACCGAUAGUGAACCAGUACCGUGAGGGAAAGGUGAAAAGCACCCCGGAAGGGGAGUGAAAUAGAACCUGAAACCGUGUGCUUACAAGUAGUCAGAGCCCGUUAAUGGGUGAUGGCGUGCCUUUUGUAGAAUGAACCGGCGAGUUACGAUUUGAUGCAAGGUUAAGCAGUAAAUGUGGAGCCGUAGCGAAAGCGAGUCUGAAUAGGGCGUUUAGUAUUUGGUCGUAGACCCGAAACCAGGUGAUCUACCCUUGGUCAGGUUGAAGUUCAGGUAACACUGAAUGGAGGACCGAACCGACUUACGUUGAAAAGUGAGCGGAUGAACUGAGGGUAGCGGAGAAAUUCCAAUCGAACCUGGAGAUAGCUGGUUCUCUCCGAAAUAGCUUUAGGGCUAGCCUCAAGUGAUGAUUAUUGGAGGUAGAGCACUGUUUGGACGAGGGGCCCCUCUCGGGUUACCGAAUUCAGACAAACUCCGAAUGCCAAUUAAUUUAACUUGGGAGUCAGAACAUGGGUGAUAAGGUCCGUGUUCGAAAGGGAAACAGCCCAGACCACCAGCUAAGGUCCCAAAAUAUAUGUUAAGUGGAAAAGGAUGUGGCGUUGCCCAGACAACUAGGAUGUUGGCUUAGAAGCAGCCAUCAUUUAAAG
rnacentral:rRNA from 1 species